rnacentral:rRNA from 1 species
AGCAGCCGCGGUAAUUCCAGCUCCAAUAGCGUAUAUUAAAGUUGCUGCAGUUAAAAAGCUCGUAGUUGAAUUUCGGGACCAAUAUGUCGGUCGUGCUUCGGUACGUACUGGCAUCGUUGGUUUCUCCUUUCUGAAGAACCAUGAUGUCAUUUAUUUGGUGUCGUGGGGAAUCAGGACUGUUACUUUGAAAAAAUUAGAGUGUUUAAAGCAGGCUCACGCUUGAAUACAUUAGCAUGGAAUAAUGAAAUAGGACGUUUGAUUCUAUUUUGUGGUUUCUAGGAUCGACGUAAUGAUUAAUAGGGAUAGUUGGGGGCAUUAGUAUUCAAUUGUCAGAGGUGAAAUUCUUGGAUUUGCUGAAGACUAACUACUGCGAAAGCAUUCGCCAAGGAUGUUUUCAUUAAUCAGGGAACGAAAGUUAGGGGAUCGAAGACGAUCAGAUACCGUCGUAGUCUUAACCAUAAACUAUGCCGACUAGGGAUCGGACGGGAUUCUAUAAUGACCCGUUCGGCACCUUACGGG